AAUUCCUGUAGCGCUGUGCCGCUGCAUCUUCAACGCGCGCUCUCCUCUUCUCCAGCGCGCCAAAUCCCAUGGCUCCUCAUCUUCCCGCGGAGUUUACGCGCCAAAUCACCCUCUUAUUCCCGCGGUAUACCCAAGCCAAGUUUUCCCCCAAUCCAUAAAUCCACCGCUUGCCGCUCAGUCUCCCCGAAACUCAUCCCUAAUCCUCAGAUCUCCUCAAACCUCAAGUGAUGAGCCACAGAUCCAAGCGGGAGAUUGCUCCUCCAACGCCUCAAGCUUUGCCUCCCAGCGUUCCUUGGUGGAGCGGUGCAGUGAAGCCCGGCGUUGCCUUCCCUCCGUCUGGUGAAGCCAUGGCCGUACCUUCGGGUGGCGUUGCCUUCCCUCCGUUUGGUGAAGCCAUGGCCGUACCUCCAGGUUGGUGGAGAGCACCUCCGCUGCAGAAUAAUUCAUUUGGUUCCCCGACUCCCCGUAUGGAGCUUGGAUGGGUGCUGUACCAACACCAGAUGGCCAAGGCAGUCAAAAUACAUCCAACGAUCCAUUAGAGAGUUCACUUGGCGGAUAUGUAAGCUUUCUCCAAAAUGGCCAGACUUCACUCCCGGCACCGCAUUCUAAUCCAAUUACUCAACAAGCUGCAUCAGGUUCGAAAGGCAAAAAUGUCAUUGACAUUGAUAAUGGAGAUGAGGUUCUGAAGGAGGUUGCUGUCAGAUGGCUUUGGACGUGUUGCUUUUGUUGGAACUUCCUCAAGAAAAGCAUUUAUGGUCUGGAGAAAGCUAGCUAGUACUAGCUUGAAUGUAGUGAUAUGGAGAUCAUUUUACUUAUCGAUUAGUUGCUAUAGGCACCUUAAAGUAAUAGUUGAACUGUAUUUGCACUUCUUGCACCUGUUAAAUAUUGAGAUGUUUCAAUUAUCUAUUUUCGAUUUAGCCAUUAAUUGGUAUUGUGGCAUUUGCAAAGCU